CCUACGGGAGGCAGCAGUGGGGAAUAUUGCACAAUGGGGGAAACCCUGAUGCAGCGACGCCGCGUGAGUGAAGAAGUAAUUCGUUAUGUAAAGCUCUAUCAGCAGGGAAGAAAAUGAAGGUACCUGAGUUAGAAGCCCCGGCUAACUACGUGCCAGCAGCCGCGGUAAUACGUAGGGGGCCAGCGUUAUCCGGAUUUACUGGGUGUAAAGGGAGCGUAGACGGCAGUGCAAGUCUGGAGUGAAAGGCGGGGGCUCAACCCCCGGACUGCUCUGGAAACUGUACGGCUGGAGUGCAGGAGAGGUAAGUGGAAUUCCUAGUGUAGCGGUGAAAUGCGUAGAUAUUAGGAGGAACACCAGUGGCGAAGGCGGCCUACUGGACUGUAACUGACGUUGAGGCUCGAAAGCGUGGGGAGCAAACAGGAUUAGAUACCCCUGUAGUC
rnacentral:rRNA from 1 species